rnacentral:rRNA from 1 species
GGUGAACGCUGGCGGUAGGCCUAACACAUGCAAGUCGAACGGCAGCACAGUAAGAGCUUGCUCUUACGGGUGGCGAGUGGCGGACGGGUGAGGAAUACAUCGGAAUCUACUUUUUCGUGGGGGAUAACGUAGGGAAACUUACGCUAAUACCGCAUACGACCUACGGGUGAAAGCAGGGGAUCUUCGGACCCUGCGCGAUUGAAUGAGCCGAUGUCGGAUUAGCUAGUUGGCGGGGUAAAGGCCCACCAAGGCGACGAUCCGUAGCUGGUCUGAGAGGAUGAUCAGCCACACUGGAACUGAGACACGGUCCAGACUCCUACGGGAGGCAGCAGUGGGGAAUAUUGGACAAUGGGCGCAAGCCUGAUCCAGCCAUACCGCGUGGGUGAAGAAGGCCUGCGGGUUGUAAAGCCCUUUUGUUGGGAAAGAAAAGCAGCAGGUUAAUACCCCGCUGUUCUGACGGUACCCAAAGAAUAAGCACCGGCUAACUUCGU